rnacentral:rRNA from 1 species
AGAGUUUGAUCAUGGCUCAGAUUGAACGCUGGCGGCAUGCUUUACACAUGCAAGUCGAGCGGCAGCGCGGGGGCAACCCUGGCGGCGAGCGGCGAACGGGUGAGUAAUGCAUCGGAACGUGUCCCGUAAUGGGGGAUAACGCCGCGAAAGCGGCGCUAAUACCCAUACGCUCUACGGAGGAAAGUGGGGGAUCCGCAAGGCCUCACGUUAGGGGAGCGGCCGAUGUCCGAUUAGCUAGUUGGUGGGGUAACGGCCCACCAAGGCGACGAUCGGUAGCUGGUCUGAGAGGAUGAUCAGCCACACUGGGACUGAGACACGGCCCAGACUCCUACGGGAGGCAGCAGUGGGGAAUUUUGGACAAUGGGGGCAACCCUGAUCCAGCCAUGCCGCGUGCGGGAAGAAGGCCUUCGGGUUGUAAACCGCUUUUAGCCGGGAAGAAAAGGCGCGAGUUAAUACCUUGCGUUUUUGACGGUACCGGCGGAAUAAGCACCGGCUAACUACGUGCCAGCAGCCGCGGUAAUACGUAGGGUGCGAGCGUUAAUCGGAAUUACUGGGCGUAAAGCGUGCGCAGGCGGUUCGUUGUGUCGGUGGUGAAAGCCCCGGGCUUAACCUGGGAAUGGCCAUGGAAACUGGCGAACUGGAGUGUGGCAGAGGGGGGUGGAAUUCCGCGUGUAGCAGUGAAAUGCGUAGAGAUGCGGAGGAACACCGAUGGCGAAGGCACCCCUGGGCUAGCACUGACGCUCAGGCACGAAAGCGUGGGGAGCAACAGGAUUAGAUACCCNNGUAGUCC